rnacentral:rRNA from 1 species
GACGUAGGGGGCGAGCGUUGUCCGGAUUUAUUGGGCGUAAAGCGUGCGUAGGCGGCUGCGCAAGUCGGUUGUGAAACCCCGGGGCUCAACCCCGGAACUGCAUCCGAUACUGCGUGGCUAGAGGUAGGUAGGGGAGAUCGGAAUUCCUGGUGUAGCGGUGAAAUGCGCAGAUAUCAGGAGGAACACCGAUGGCGAAGGCAGGUCUCUGGGCAUUAACUGACGCUGAGGAGCGAAAGCAUGGGGAGCGAACAGG